GUCCACAUUUAAGUGCUUCUCUGACGGGCGUCCCCGCCGGUUUAGAUUGAGCAUUUCGCGCUACGCUGCCUCUCCCACACAUGCCCUGAUUUGAUAUUAAUAUCAAUCUUCUUUUUACCCUUCUCUUCAUUGAGAUUAGCGCUCCCCCGCACCCCCCUCCACCCCCUCCAACCCCCUCUUCUUCCCUCCAAUUCUGACAUCCAUUCUGGUCCAAGGAGGACAGCGUGAAACAUACUUUGCCGUAGAAGAAUAAAAUCCCAAAUUGGUAUUUUUGUGAGCGCACACGUCCAAGUUAAGCUCACAUAAGUUUAUGCAUUGCAAAUAAACUACCCCCCCCCCCCCUCGCAUUCAUACGCACAAAUGUUUAAAACGGGCACACAUCCCACAUUACUUCUUGUAGCACUGCGCUGAAAGAAAGAGUUUAUUAUGUUGGGAAAAUAACAACAGCUUCGUUUGAAGUGUCAUCGCAAACUGUCGAGAAAUGAAACGAAAACAGGAAGCGAAAAGACAGCGGCGCUGUCGCCAAAGGAGGCCGACGGCCAACGGCAUAUCAGCGUGUCCUGUCGCCCUGCCUUUGUUCAACCCUGACACCUGAAUCCCACUCAGACACAAGCGGGGUCGCAGGUCAGACCCCCAGCACUGACAAAUGGCAUCCGGACGUGACCUCGCCCCCCCCGGUGGGGCAAAGACAACGAAGGGGAAACACGGCCGGGCUGCUUUACGUGCACUUGGCCUUUAAUUGACAUUAAUUCUGUAUGAAAGGUCCUCCUGUGAUAUAAGGCCAUUAAAGCGUCCAUCAAAGGCUGACAAAGCUCGGGCCUAAGCGCUGGAAGGACGGUGGUGAGAACAAACCUUUAAGUCCCUAAUCAGCCGAUGAAGGAAAUUACACGGCUUCAACCCUGAAACAUUCAAUUAGCAGUUUAUGCAUCAUGUUAUGUCACAUCUCUCCCUGCGUUUGCCUGGCGGCAGUUCGCAGUCCGUUUGACACUGAACACUUCUUUCAGAUCUCCCCCCGUCGUCUCAUUGUCAAGUCUGACCUAAGGUCAGUUUCCUGUCUCUGAUAUCCCCGUUUCAGAAUACACGAGAACCAAUAACUGCUACACGCAACCGGGCGCGCGCGACAAAUCAAACUCAAGAUCCCUUCUUUACGGCGCAGCUUUUUGCCCGGACUCACAAUCAGAGCGUGUCCCUCGGUGAGGGUGUGUGGCCGUUUCACAUUCCUGUUGCCGGGUCACCUUGGAGCAUUUUGGUGCACGCGGCAUGAGGGUCCCGCCGCUGUCUACCGGCGCGCUUCGCUGAGCACUUCCCCAAGCGCGACACUCCCACUCCAGCAGGGAUUUCCACACACCAGUGGUUGAAUCUUCCUCUGGGCCUCCAUUGCUAACCAUUAGAGGCGGAUUAGGAGAGCGGGUGAACGGUAAGAGGAAGGGCUCCUGGUGCUCGCUGUCAGGUGCAUUUCACGACCAAGGACCUCAGAUGACCGUCCAGGGUUAGAGAGACAGCUCGGCUCUUGGUUUUAACUUGCUAUUCAAACCAACUAAAGACCAGAAAACAACAGCAAGUAAAUUCAAAGCCACGAGCUCGGGGGUCUGAGACUGAAUAGCUCCGAUUGAUGGUCUUUUUACGGGACUCUACAGCGACUCACUGGCCUACUGCGACCUUCUCUUAAUGAUAAAAGCAGGUUUGUAUCAACUCCUGCUGGUAAACAACCGAACAUCGCUCAGAUACAUUUCGCAGACGUUCAGUCAGGGGAAGAACUAAAAGCUUUCUGAAACAAAUAGUUGGCGACAGGAUAUAACGAGUCCCACAUAGAGCGAGGAGGUUUAAUCGCAUUCCUAAAGUUCCCAGAGAAACAGCAGCUUUUGUAAUGUGAAACAUUUGUCCUCGAUUGCACCUCAAGAAUCAGAAACGAAUGAAGCAGACCUCACCACGUUCUUUAGAUAAGCAAAACCGUUAGCGUUAGGUGGUUUUAGGUAACAUAGCUAAAAUCAGUUCCCUGCUGCAUCCUGAAAUGACACAGAUGAGACCAGUGAGACUGAACCUAAACAGCAAAGAGUGACGUGUUGGACGCACGCUACGUAGGGCUGAGAACUGCCGAGAUCUCUGAGGGAACAUCAGUAUCAGCAUGGGCAACUUUACAUUCCAGAUGCUCAGCUGAUCCACUGAUAACUUAUUCACUGAUUAUAUCAGCUUUAAAGUCAGGGAGAAACCUUCACCCAGCCUAAAUAAAUUGGUCAAACACUUACAAUCAUAGAACCUGUAAGGCUGAUCAAAAGAUCCAGGUAUGUGUCUUCAGCAGGGGCCAACAUUGUGACCGCACAAGGAGCCCGCAGGCCUCGCAGCUCGGGCCCACUGAGAUGAAACCAAGCAAAACGGAACGUUGAGCCUCUAUUUGUUAAGGAGACAAAGGUCUGGUUUUCACACUGAGGUCACAGUUGCAUGGAGAAGAACGCAGGAACCCGCCAGGUAAACGGAUGUCAUUGUCCACCAACAAAAGUAUCGUCUUAACCCUGUGACCUCAUCAGCUUUGGGGAAUGCUCCUGUAUUGUCAGUCAGUCAUCAGAAGAGGGAGCCUGGCUCUUUUGAAGACACCGCCCAGACACCACAGGUAUUAGUUCCCUCGGGUCCCGGCAGUGCACUUGCAGAACACGGUACGAGGGACUCGUGGCAACACUUCCGUGUGCUUUUAAUGGCGUUGAACCAAAGCAGUUAUGAUACAAAGUAAUUCCCGCGCAACACAUCAUCACACGUUACGCAUGUCAACUCCUCAUGCCGGUUUCUCUUAGAGAGAAGCUCCCAGCUGCCCGUCUGCCUCCCUGUUCCUUCACUGCCCGUCAAAGCGACUUUCAGAAAAAUGCAGCAUCACUUGUUCUGUGAUCACGCUAAUCUGAAUGCUUUAGCAGAUUGAGAGCUUCGAGUGCUGAAAGCAAAAGCAACUCAAUCUUAGAAUUUAAAAGGCUUUUUUUUCUUCUUUGCCUCAUACAGCCUGCAGCCAAAUGGCACUUGUGUUCUGACACGGCACAUAAACACACACAAAAGAAGUUAUUAGCGUAGAUGCAAAUCAAAUUACUAGCAGUGUAAACUGCUAUUCCUCCCUGCACUUGGGCCUGUAAUUACUCUGGCUUAUAGGGCUAUAAUGAAUGCUAAUGACACACUACUGCAAGGCCAUCAGCCACAUGCUUGUGUGAGGUUGGGUGAUUUUCACUUAAGUUAUGAAAGCCCAUUUUGGUCUGCGUAGUUUGCGCCUCACUCCAUGCUCUGUGCAAGAUUAAGGAGAACAAUUAUUUUAGCAAAAGAACAUUUGCCUGGAAUAUGUUUCAACAGCAAAUCAUUUAAAAAUUAAAGGCCGUAAUUGGAUGCAUUCAACCAUAUCGUAUGUAAAGCAUUUUUUGCAUUUCAAAGAGGAUUACAAAUUCAACUGCACAAUGAGUCCUUGUGGAAAUGACAACAGCUGCACAUGCCUCAGAUCUGUCAGUGUUCAUCACUGAAUCUAAUUUCUUCGAGCCAAUAACCAUUUUUGCUGCUGGGAAAUCAACACACAGACAUAUUUGCAUACUUUAAUUUCACAACGUACAUUAUAUUGGCCUUGAAACGUCUACAUGUUAACUCAUGUAGACACGAUGUUUGGGUCUGACACAUAAUAACCAGCUGGCACAAAUAGACCUGAUUAUAAAUACGAUUGAUUGUGCUUUUAGACAGACACAGUUAGCACUGUAUAUAAAGAUAAUAGUGGUAAACUGCACAGCACCUUUCUAGACUUCCAACCAUUCAAAGCGCUUCAACACUACAUGACAUCGUUCACCCAUUCAUACACUGAUGACAGGAGAACCACACACAGAGACACCUGCCCAUCAGUAACUAGCAUUCACACACUGUAGUUGGGUUAAGUGUCUUGCCCAAGGACACGUCGGCAUGCAGGUUAGCCGAACCGAGGAUCGAACCGACAACCCUCUUACUGGAGGACGACCUGCUCCCCACUCACCCACAGCCGCCCAACUCAUCAAUAUGUUAAGUUGUGGUGAAAAAAUGAGUCAAUAACGAUGGUGGCAAGACGGAGUACAGAGAGGAGGUCAGAGAACUGAAAUCUUGGGACAUCAAUGGGAAAACAGUGCAAGUAGACGUUUACUUUGUUUUAAAGGGUCACUGAUUAUGAAAAGCUGGGAAUUACUGAGCCAACAAAAAGAUAUGGCAGAGAAAUAUAUUUACAUUAAAAAAUGAAGGUUGACAUUAAGAUUACUUUUGUAGAGCAGAAGUACAUCAUCUUAGCUUGACUCUUGAGAAACUGAAUUCAUUGUGUAGUUUAACAAACAGAGCCGGCCUUGCAUAUAACGCCAACAGUGGGACUGUUAGAAAACAUGCAUUAAACACCUAAGAAGUUUGAAAAGUCAUAAAAUGCUAAAAGAGGCUUAAGAACAUGUUCUUAUGCAGCAUGUCUUUACACCUAAACAGCACAUUAGUUUAUCUUAUAUAUGCUUACUGAAUGAUAUUGUAGACUUACUGAUAUAUCAGCCACAACCUGGAUUUUCUUCCCCUCAAACAGAAGAGCAAGCAGAAGCUCCCCCAUCGGCCGCCUGAAUAAGGAAUUUUUGAUGACCUGCGCUAAAGGUCACCAGUGCAGAAGAAAUGCUGCAGUACAGGAAAUCCAGGACAGCUCAGGGCUGCGUGGAUGCCCAAGAGAUAAGGACUGGGGAGGAAGUGAGGAGGACAAGGAGCAAGUGAGCCUUCUGCAACACUCUGGACCGGCAACAACUGGGAGCUUUCCAGCACUGUGCUCUCACUGAGAGGGGUGGAGGGAGUCGGGGCCGGCCGGUGGGACGGGAUGCAGAGUCGUACCAGCUAUUGAAAAACAGUUUCAAUGGUGGCCUACACUCACCACAGAGAAUUACUAUCACAUUCUGUGUCCCACCAAAGAAUGACACAUGCAUUAGAGAGAAGCGUAGCAUGCGACCGAAAUGCAAUCAAGAGACACAAUCAUAACACACCAUAUUAUAUAUAUAUAAUGUAUGACUUUGUCAUCCAAGUUGUUGUGUUGUUGUUGAAUACGGUAAAGGAGUAGUUCAUCUAUUUGGGAAAUGUUCUUACUUGCUUCCUGCCGCGCCAGAUGAGGAGACUUCUCGUGUGCUAAAUAUGAAGCUGUAUGUGCACAGAAAUAUACUGUGCACAGACGACUGCUACGGACACCUUAAAGUGUUAAGACAUUUAAAGGUUAAAACAGAGAUACACAAAAAAAUGAAUAGUGUAGUUGGCAUCAAGAAGUGAAACCAUUGAAUCAUUUCUGACCUUUUUGGAUUGUACUUAUGCCAAAAUGUAAAGCUCAUUGAACGUUCACAUUUACUUUAUAUAGUGCUAUUGCUAAUUAUGGAAGACACAAUUUCAGCUUUGCUUUGAGUGAAAAUGCGCCACGAGCAGAAGCAUCUGCUGAGGAACAGGAUCCUUUUUCUUUUUUUUCUUUUCAGAGCUCGGUGGACAAAGCAUCCGUAGUAAAUCUCAGAUCAAACAACAUGCUGAAAAGUUGGAUCUCAAAGUAAAUAGCCAUCGUCAAAGGGGCUGGAGAAGGGAGAGAAGAUUGUCUCAAAUGAAAGACACCCCAUUGAAAUCGUAUUGAGCUAUUUUCAGUCAGGCACCAAAAAAAAAAAGCGGGAGAAAAGAGUGCACUGGUAAAGGUCAGCGUGAACCCAGAUCAUAGAACCUGAAACAUGGCACACAGAUAAAGAGCACAGUGUGAAAUAUAUCAAUUACGCCUUGACAUUUUCCACAGAGACAAAAGAAGCCGGUAUAAUACGAUGGUGUGGCGGCGUCACCAGCACUCUGGCCCGGUUUGCCCAGUUACAUCCCAACUGGAUAUUAAAAAAAGCUUAAGUGGAAAGCAAGAAAUCAAAAGAGUUUAUAUCUGCCUAAUUUCAUGCGCUCUUCCAAUAUGUGUAAAAAUAUCAGUAACACCGGAUGAGCUUUGGGCGUGAACUUAAAAUGUUGUGUCUAACCUGGCUUUGGAUUUAGAUUAUUUGGCCUAUUUCAUUUCAAAGAGGAAGUUUGAGCCUCAGCGUUAUGCGCAUAGAAUGUCAAACAUUUUUUUUUGCCCGUUACAUUCGCAUGGUGGCCCCUGCGAGUUGCUCAUCCUCGACCCCUGAAGCCUGAAUCACUGCAAUUUCAAAACUAAAUGCUUUGCAAACGGUGAGGAAGCUGCUCACACUGCGCAGCGGGGCCUUCCUUCUCUUCUUCUGACAUUCAAAAACACCUACACAUGUACACAGUUGCUUCUUGUUUACAUGACAAACAUGAUGAGGAGGACUGUCGAUAAUAAAUGGAUGUAAACACCAGAUAUUUUUGUAACACAUUUUUUACAUUUGAGCACAUUGUGAUGUUUCAGGGAUCUCUGGUGGAUCAGACUGGACCAGGCCUUGAGAUGUGUAACGUUAAGCCUACUAGCAGGCCGUUAGUGAUGCCCUCAGGCUCCUGUGAUCUGCCUUCAAACAACACACAGAAAGGAAAGAUGUCUUCCCACCUGGUGUCCAUCUGGUCUUUCUUUGCUUUUUCUUUUUAAUGCUUCUACAAACUGAGGUUGACUACGAAACCGGAGGAGAGCGAAGUGAAGGCAGAAAGACCGGAGGAGCUGCUCUUCGCUUUCCUUCCUACUGUUUCUGGAAGUGCUGUGACAGCUGCCACGUAAAACAAGUAAGUACAUUUAAUAGCUUUUCAACCUUUGUUCUACUGCUGGCUGGGUUUGUACGCAUCCGCUGUUUCACACCAACACUGAUUUUACAGAUGCAUGGCAGGCAUGCACACUGCAUAUUUUUCGCUCAUCCAUUUGUCACACACAAUAUCUAUGUCACCGCUGAUCUCAUUUUGACACAACAUGCUGCAAUUAUGUAUCUCACCAAUGCAAGUGACAUACUGGAUUUGCCGGUGAUCGGCGCAGAUGAGUUCUGCUUUAUUUAAAACGUGUUUGCGUGCAACAAAAAAUAUUUAUAUACCGUAGAAAUAAAAAAUAUUCCAUGGAAUGAGAUUCAUGAGUUGUGCGGCGGCUACAGCAGCGCUGCAUUCACGGAAUACUUAACAUAACAUGUGUGUUAUAAGCUUUGAAGGUUGCGAUGUGACGGUUUAGCCUCCAAAAACAGUGUAACAAUUGAGACAAUGUGAUUUACUCGAGCAUCUUGUAGGAAGCUGGCUAUCAUGUCAGGAACUGGGAGGCACCUGAAUGUUACAUUCCCCAACAAUAAGGGAAAAUUAAGCCUCUUUACAAGGCUGAUAUCGUAUUCAUCUGCUGCUACGCGCCUCCUCAAGUAUAUGCCCUCAUAAUUAGUUGGCAUAAUCAACACUGUACUGCUUGGCCGCGAUAACAAUGUUGUACAGUGCACAUCAUUUAGUGUUUCUACAGACUGAAUGGAGAGUAAAGGGGCCACUUCUUAUUCAGACUCUACCGAGGCAAGGCAACUCAAUACAAACCAAAAGACUGCCGCAUUGCUCGCAAUUUAAUUUGGAAUAUAUUUAACCAUUUCAAAGCAACCACUGUCAUUUUAAAACCCUCGUCGUGAGGAACCCAAGGUUGUUCCUUUGGUUCCAUCAGGCCCUGACCAUCUGUAUUCAUUCAGCACAAGGAGAGUAGCUUGUCCAGUGAAAAUGAGGAGAGAUAAAGCAACUCCGUCUCCCCUAAAAACGAUGUGUGCACUAUUACUCAGCUCCAGAGUUGGACGGAAUUCCAACAAAACCUCUUUGGUUGCAAGUUAAAUGUUAGUCCUGUCCGGCGGGUUCUGUGUUAAACAGAAGACCACAAUCUCUUUGUGUGAAUUCCUGUUUACUUACGUUGCUGUUAUUGUCAGACUGGGUAUUUCUAAACUAUACGCGUAGACGGCUCACAUAUUAUUGAUUUGUUCAGCAUCAACCUUUAUGUAACAUGAGUGAUGAAGGUGGCCUUGUGAAGCAACUCGAGAACAGUCAUCAUGUUUCCUCUGCAUGUAUGUGUAAAUAAAUAGUGUUGUCUAAUCAUGCUAUGCAGAGCAAUACCUCUCUAAUGCUCGUUAGCGUUAGCUACAGUAACGUUAGCUGCCGUUAGCUAUAUGUAGGGCAUAAGCAGUCAAACGUUUAUUUUGUUUUACCUUCAAAAAUUUGUAUAGUAUCAUUAAAAUAUAUUUGGACUCUUGAGAGAAACUGUAUGAAGUGAUGAAUGAUAAAUCAGAGACAUAACGGAUACGUUAAAAGGUCUCACUUCAAUACCAGCUUGGAGUGUUGUACCUUCAUCAUUACGUCCUGUGCGUUACCCUCCUCUACAUCUUCUACGCGCAAUUGUUUUUUUUGGAUUAUUUUGUCAAACAAGUAGCUGCAACUUGGAUUAAAUAACUUUUUUUUAAUCGAGAAGGAAAAGAUAUGCUAGUCAACUAUCCCACAUCCCUUCAAGAAAUGGAGAUUAAUUUGAAGGUAAUCACGAGUGUGAAAAUUGCUGUUAUCUUCUCACGAUUCCUUUUGACUGCUAACGGCCUGUCUGGCUCUGAAGUCGUCCCGGUAAUAAAUAUUCAUAUACCUUUCAGGGUCUUUUGUUAUGUUGACUACCUUCCAUCAGUCUGAUCUGUUGUGGCAAGAAAACACAAAUAGUCGAGAAAAAAAAUUGAGAAAAAAAAAUCUAAGUAAAUAUAUAAAUAUUAAUGACAAUGACUGAAGGGAGGGGGGGGGGGUGUUUGGCACAUCAAAGACGCCUCUAUCUUUGUUGCAUGUAAACAGUGCGUGCCUUCAGUGAGUGGAGGAGCUCUUUUUAAUGAUCCCGUGGAAGAUUGCCACAACGACAAGCAUCCUGUAAUAAAUAAAAUUAACAAACAUUUCUGUAGGGUCUUUUCAAAAGGAAAGAGAGCCCAAUGUUUUUUUUUCAGAUAAGUGGUCCAUACAUUCCCUGCUCCUUCCUGAUUAGUCUAAUCCAGUGAGAAGUGCGUGCAGGGUUUUGAUUGAGUCAGCCGCCGAGGACCCCGAGGGGGAGCCCUCCUGAUAAGUGCCUUUACCUUUCACCUCCAGAACCCCACGCACGUCGCUCCGCCGUAUCCACACUCCCUCUAAUCUCAUUUGGCCCAGGAAGACAUGCUCAGGCACAAGAAGCUACGAUUAGCAUCCUCUUUACCAGGGGAUUCCACUGGCUUGGACUGCCAGUGCUGCCCCUCGACCGGAAGUCGCCGAAGGCUCUAAAUCAGCUCGACUGGUUCUGUGUGUGCGGUGUGCGUGUUGGCAUGCGUGUGUGCAUGCGUGUGUGCAUGCGUGUGUGUGUGUGUGUGUGUGUGUGUGUGUGCGUGUGGCUCAUGUGUGUGUGCUUCUGCAUCCGCCCUUCACGAGUGUGUGUUUGACAACUUGAUAUCAAAGGGGAGGGGGGGCUUUCCUCUAUUUACCUUCUUUGGAAUUUAUCAGAUUCACAUUUCCUGAUUGUCAGCUUUCCAAAAAGCAUGUGCUCUCUUUAUUUGAUUCAGUAUCUUGGAAAAACUGAGUUCCUGAGGUCAGAACUGCAACAGCCCGACCUAAUUCUGGUACCACUCCGCAUCUGGAAUUUAGGCGUGUGGCAAUUUUAAGCAUUUAGUUAAAAAAAGGUUGCAUUCAACAUUGGAGUGUGUGUCAGUGUCCGUCCACACUGCGCUCAGCCACAGGACACAAAGGGAGGAAGUCACUCAAGUUGGAAUCUAAUUGAAUCCAUCUUUCCAUUCAGCGCCCGCAUCACGUUGUGUUGUGUCCUCGAGCAGGGAGUGUCCUCAGGACAUGUCAUGGAGAUUGUUGAAAGACGUGACCUUUGAUUAAAGCGUCAUGAGAGCUCAUACAGAAUUUCGAUAAGUUUCCAGCAAAGUGCUACCACUGAUAAAGUCAUUUGUCACUCCCCAAAACUCAAACAACUGCAGAAAUACAUGACGUAAAUAUUUCCUGUUUUGAAAUGUAUCAGAUGGAGACAACAAAUCGAUAAAGAAAGGAUGAUAGCCGUUUUGACACAAGUUUUAGUUUGGACUUAAACUAGACUGUCAGUGUUCCAAUGGGAAUGUUUUUUCAAAUAAAUAACAAUAAUAUAUAAACAAGAUGUUACUGAAUAUGUGCAUCUCUGCAGAAUUGCUUAUCACAAAUAACUGUGCAAGAUAAAAGAGACCUCUUCAACAUUACCUAAAGAACUUAAUGAAACCUCAGCUAUGCUGAGCAUUUUACAAUUACAUAUAUUUUUGGGCGUAGCAGACGCAAGUAAAAAAAAUGAUAUAUCUCAAUGAGUCAAGAGGCAUCUAAGUGUAGAGCACAGUUUGACGUGUGGAACGUUGAGGAUUUCGAACAAUAAAGCCGUAGAACAAUGACUCAAACGUAACCAUGAUGCACAUGCACACCCAGCACACCCGCUAUUGUAAAUUAUGACACAUCUUUAAGCAUUGGGUGGAACCUGAGCGAGCAGGACGUGCACAAUAAUAAAUAUGAGGAAAUAAAUGAGGAAAUCAAGCAGACUGCUAAUCUCAGUGUGUGGUCACCAGCUUGUAGCAGCUUCUGGGGAAAGAAGGUUUUGAUAAACGUAUGGCUGCUCCGUCAGGCCGCUAUUGCCAAAAUUAUAAUCAUCUUGGGAGAUGAGAAAGAAGAAUGACCGACUGAAGGAUUGUUACUCUUUGUAUUUCUGUUUUGAAGGGAACUAAUAUAUGAGAAAAAGUUUGGAACACAAGACGAUUGACGUUUUUCUUUUAUUCUGAUGGGUCACUCCGGUAGGUGGGGGUCCCAUCAGUGACAUCACAGAUCCACGUUACCCAUGUGGGUCAAUGAAAAUACUGAACAAGGGUGAGGACUUUUUCUAAGAAUGUGCUGAAAAGUUACACAAAAUCCAAGGGGUGAUCACUACACCUUUAUUUGUGUAUGUAUUACAGUGUGAGGACAUUGGGGAUUAAACAUGUAAAAUUAAACACAUGGCUUAACGCCUAAUACAUAAACAAUAAAAAUGCUAAAUAUUAUUCCAAAAUAUCUAGUUGAAAUUUCCAUCACGAAUAAUUCGUCUGAUAUGCAGGUUUAAAUAGUAUGGACAUAUUUAGUGACUAAUGCAGCACGUGGUCUUUGACAGCGUCCCGGGAAAACAGCAUCAGCAGCAUCAGCAGGUUAAAUGUUGAAGGCCUGAAGAGACGCGGGAGAAGUUCCCAAGUGCGAAAAACGAAUGAGGAAAUUCAAUUUGAAAAUUGUUAAAAGACUGAGAACAUUGUUUGCAAGUCAAUCGAUUUGGCCGCCCGGAGCGCGGCAGCAACAUGGACGUGAUGGAUGCGAGUGAUGCGCAAGCUUGAAUUGUUUCUCGGUGAAGCGCGUAACGGCCGAUGCUUUUCCCCACAUCUGUAUCUCGCGGUGUCGGCCCACAUGUACAUGCGUGGUGAAUAAAACAGAGACGUGCACUGUCUUCAUGCGCGUCUGGGAGGGAAUAAAGUCUCGGUGUGAAUCACUUAUCCCGACCGGCGCGCCGCAUUAAACAACCGUGGCGUGAUUCCCCUCUUUUCUCUCUCUCUCAGCUCAUCCCUUCCCCCGUUCUUUCUUUUUUUCUUCGUUCUUUCUUUAUCAGCUCGUUCACGAUUUCAUUUCUUUCAAAUGAGAAUUCGGGGACCCCCAAAUUCAACCCCCCGCGUCUUCAAACAACACAACUGUACGGGUUUCACUUCUUUCUCCCGUCAAAAUGGUAUCCCAGAUUCAAUUUUAGAUACAGGCUAAGGAUUUAGACAGUGAUGAUUUUCUUCUUCUUCUUUUUUAGGUCUGUCGGAGACAAUAUUUAAUAUGCUGAAAUUAGAUCAGUUUACCCCCCCCCCAUCCCGCCGUCCCUAUUUUUUAUUUAGAAUUUCUUAAUAUAUGUUUGUGUCAAAU
ensembl:lncRNA